GCCGAGAGGGCGAGGAAUACAAUACCCGCAAGGGGAAUAACUCCAGCCUGCUUGUAAGGUUUACGAACCUCUUGGCCGCCCAUU
rnacentral:ncRNA from 1 species